GACGAACGCUGGCGGCGUGCUUAACACAUGCAAGUCGAACGGAAAGGCCCUGCUCUUGUGGGGUGCUCGAGUGGCGAACGGGUGAGUAACACGUGAGUAACCUGUCCUUGACUUUGGGAUAACUUCAGGAAACUGGGGCUAAUACCGGAUAGGAGCUCCUGCUGCACGGUGUGGGUUGGAAAGUUUCGGCGGUUGGGGAUGGACUCGCGGCUUAUCAGCUUGUUGGUGGGGUAGUGGCUUACAAAGGCUUUGACGGGUAGCCGGCCUGAGAGGGUGACCGGCCACAAUGGGACUAAGAUACGGCCCAGACUCCUACGGGAGGCAGCAGUGGGGAAUAUUGCACAAUGGGCGGAAGCCUGAUGCAGCAACGCCGCGUGCGGGAUGACGGCCUUCGGGUUGUAAACCGCUUUCGCCUGUAACGAAGCGUGAGUGACGGUAAUGGGUAAAGAAGCACCGGCUAACUACGUG
rnacentral:rRNA from 1 species